AGGUGGUGGAAGGAGCGGUGGUGGUGGAGGCCCAUACGGCGGUAAGUGAACAUUGCUGUGUUGUAUGUGGUAUUAGAUCAUUGUGAACCGUCUCCGUUCCACUAAGGCUCUUUUGGACAUUGAAAAGUUUGACUAUGAGACGCGGCAGUUCAGGAACUAUUUUAACUGAAAUAUUUAGUAUAUGAACUUUUGCAGAUGCCACAGCUUUUGUGUCACAUCUCAAUCACGGUUCUUUUGUAGGUGGUUAUGGAGGAGGCUCUGGUGGUGGUUAUGGAGGAGGCUCUGGUGGGCGAAGGUUUUAGAUUCCAGGUGCAGGGGAUCCAGCAGCAAACCUUCAAAUCUAAUAAAGCUAAGAUCCAGUAUCACAAGACGAAUGUUGAUUUUUGAGUUGCUCUCCAAAGCUUCUGGCUGCAGCACAUGCAAACUCAUCCUCAUUGUCUUAACCAAGCAGUCUUAGCUGACCUGAAGGCCACAGUACUUAGAGGAGAGCCAGAGAGAGAUGACAGGGAAAGGAGAGAAGCAAGCAGGUUUACACCUAGAUCUGCCCAGCCAAGCAGUGUGGUGGCGAUAUUAACGUCUGCCAUGCGAAGAGAACGUGUUCAAUAGGGGAGGAAAAUCAUGUGGGGAUGGGGGGAUGGGGGGGGGGGGGUUGUGUGAAGGUGUACAAAAAAAAAAAAAAAGAAAGUUUUACAAAUUUAUUAGUUUGUAGUUUUCCCUUUUUUGUCUGUGAAGUGCAAAGCAUUCCAAUGAGAUUUUAUGCAGGGUUUAAUUGUUGUGUUGGCUUUUCUCUUGAACCAGUAGGGUGUCUGUCUUUUUUCUUUCUUUUUAUUUUUAUGUGAACAGUCACCAAUCAAGAUUAAAUAAACCGCUCCAGUUUUUUUAUUUAAUUGUUUUCGUCAGUGUUUUGAUUUGGUCAAUUCUAUUGUGAGUUCUCGCCCGGUUGCAUGAAUGACAAGAUUUGUAGAUUUCAAGCUUUACCGUAAAGUCACUUUGACCUUUGGUUAAAGCAUUAAAGAGAUACUCCACCCAAAAAUUUUAAUUUUGUCAAUAAUCACU
rnacentral:lncRNA from 1 species